UCUGAGAGAAGAUGGAUGAGAAGAUGGAUGGAGUUGCGGUCGCCGGUCAAGCAGUUCAAAGAUGGUGGUUGUUACGGUUGCCGGUCGCUAACAAGAAGACGGAAGGACGACGACAGAACAACAACGAGAAUAUGGAAGGACGACGGUGGCAGUAGAGGAAGGAUUCAAAAGGUCAACCAUCCAAGUGAAAGUAUAAAUUAAAAAAGAGCAAUGCCUCAAAGCUUCAAAAAUCCAUCAUCAGUGAAAGUUUGCAGAAGACCAUUUAUUUUCAAAGCACAUACAAUGAGCUCUACCUGUAACUGAUGCUGGAGGCUCUGACCAACUUAAGCAUGGCAAUUUGUUGUCAAACGAAGCCAAUAAGGGAUGAUAAACUGCCAUACGGAAGAAAAAAGAUACAUUUAUGUACAUGAAAAACAUACGCUUAAUGGGAGAUGUUAAGAGGAUCAUGAUAUUUGAUUAUCUUUAUAUUAACUAUACAUACUGAUUUGUAUGUGCUUUGUGUAUAUCCUUAGAAUCUAUUGUUUCCUUACUGUUUCCUUGCACUAGAAUAUGAUG